rnacentral:rRNA from 1 species
UCCAGCUUGCUGGGGUGAUUAGUGGCGAACGGGUGAGUAACACGUGAGUAACCUGCCCUUGACUCUGGGAUAAGCCUGGGAAACUGGGUCUAAUACCGGAUAUGACCUUCCAUCGCAUGGUGGUUGGUGGAAAGCUUUUGUGGUUUUGGAUGGACUCGCGGCCUAUCAGCUUGUUGGUGGGGUAAUGGCCUACCAAGGCGACGACGGGUAGCCGGCCUGAGAGGGUGACCGGCCACACUGGGACUGAGACACGGCCCAGACUCCUACGGGAGGCAGCAGUGGGGAAUAUUGCACAAUGGGCGCAAGCCUGAUGCAGCGACGCCGCGUGAGGGAUGACGGCCUUCGGGUUGUAAACCUCUUUCAGUAGGGAAGAAGCGUAAGUGACGGUACCUGCAGAAGAAGCGCCGGCUAACUACGUGCCAGCAGCCGCGGUAAUACGUAGGGCGCAAGCGUUAUCCGGAAUUAUUGGGCGUAAAGAGCUCGUAGGCGGUUUGUCGCGUCUGCCGUGAAAGUCCGGGGCUCAACUCCGGAUCUGCGGUGGGUACGGGCAGACUAGAGUGAUGUAGGGGAGACUGGAAUUCCUGGUGUAGCGGUGAAAUGCGCAGAUAUCAGGAGGAACACCGAUGGCGAAGGCAGGUCUCUGGGCAUUAACUGACGCUGAGGAGCGAAAGCAUGGGGAGCGAACAGGAUUAGAUACCCUGGUAGUCCAUGCCGUAAACGUUGGGCACUAGGUGU